UUAGGUUAACCACAUAAAAUAUGUCGAUCUUCUUUAAUCGUAUGCAUUCGCCUCAAUAAGUCAUAAAACCUUAUGUGUUUUCUACGUAAGGUUGAUGCGUAUAAUUAAAGAAUGUUAUAUUUUAUGUGAUUAACCUAACU
rnacentral:pre_miRNA from 1 species